UUAAAGGACCAGGUUCUUUAUAACAUGAACUGAUUAAAAAAAAAAGAAAAGAAAAGAAAAGGAAAGAAAACAUCUGGGGGUGGGGGUAAAUCCCUCUUCCGGUUAGCAUUUGCUCAAGAUCAAAGCAUUUGCUCAGAGUGUUAUCCUGCUCUGGGAAAAUACACUUUGCUUAUCAACUGUGCCACUUUCUAAGUUAGCAGAUUGUGUCAAGAGUAUGAAGCCAGCUCUGACCAGCCAGAGUGAGGUACAGACCCUUUGCAUUAGGAAUAAAAGUCCACCAGGACUCUUGGUUUAUGGGCUUCCAACGCUGCUGUGCACCCUUCUACAGAGGCACCACUCUUUGCUUUGCUGAGGUGCUUUGGAUUAAUGGUCAUCUUCCCAAGAUUACCCACCCCCAGACCCAUUUUAAACACUUGACUAUGGAUUCAAUGUGACCAGCUACCACAUACUCUUGCACCCUGACUUUCCCGGGAUGAUGAAUUUAGCCCUCAAACAAUGAGUCCAGAUAAACCCUCCCUUCCUUAACUCACUUCUGUUAGGCAUUUUGUUAUGCCAACAGGACAAGCAACAAGGACCAAGCUGAGAAAAACCUCACUUCUGGAGCCCUAGAGAAGGAGAAGCCAAGAUAAGAGGCCAGCAUUUAUCCAAAGCCCUGCCAAUGGCCAGUCAGAGGUGACAAGCCCCAACCUGGCACCCUGAAUUCACUUGGCACUGGCUUUAACAUGCUGGAGGCUAAGACUGCCAAGGUGGGUGUGGCCCGUGGUCUGCCUGGAAAUGCUUCUAGCCCCAUGGGGAGUGAGGUCAAAUUGGAGGAAUACCAAGUACCCUGGGAGUCUGCCUGGUGUGUGUGCUUUCUUUGGGGAUACAGCAGGAAAUGCUCUUGGACUGGGUCAAGAAAGAAGUGUUUUGCUUGGAAGAGAAGGUGUUUCUCCUGAUGCAUGUUUCUGUACCACAUGUGAGCAGUGCCUGUGGAAACCUGAAAUGUCUCCAGCAGGAAGUGACACUUUCAGCGUCAACAAUGUACCCAAGACCUUGCUCUCUCUGCUCUUGGAGAAAGAAGUCUCACUCCUUCCUCAUAGAAUAGGACAUCAGCACUCGCCCUCAGUCGGAAAACCUCUUCCACUGCUCUUUUGCCAUCUCCCUGGUGUGUUGAGACUUAUGCCUGACUGUUGGGAGCCUUGGCUGUGACUGGAAUGCGUUCUGUAUGUUGAAACUAUCAUGCUAAGUUCUCCUCAUGUGUUCUGUAUGCUUCAGAAGAUCUUGGAUAAAGUUGAACUUGGAUGAACUUA